rnacentral:rRNA from 1 species
CGUGUAGGCGGGUAUGCAAGUUUGGCGUGAAAGCUCCCGGCUAAACUGGGAGAGUGCGCUGAAGACUGCGUAUCUAGAGGCGAGUAGAGGGACGUGGAAUUCCGGGUGUAGUGGUGAAAUGCGUAGAGAUCCGGAGGAACACCAGUGGCGAAGGCGACGUCCUGGGCUUGACCUGACGCUGAGACGCGACAGCACGGGGAGCGAACGGGAUUAGAAACCCCGGUAGUCCGUGCCGUAAACGAUGCACACUAGGUGUUCGGGCAACUACGGUUGCUUGAGUGCCGCAGCCAACGCGAUAAGUGUGCCGCCUGGGGAGUACGGUCGCAAGGCUAAA